UGUGUGUAUCUAUGUCUGUCAGUGUGUCUGUGUGUAUCUAUGUCUGUCAGUGUGUCUGUGUGUAUCUAUGUCUGUCAGUGUGUGUGUGUGUAUCUAUGUCUGUCAGUGUGUGUGUGUGUGUAUCUAUGUCUGUCAGUGUGUGUGUGUGUAUGUCUGUCAGUGUGUGUGUGUGUAUGUCUGUCAGUGUGUCUGUGUGUAUCUGUGUCUGUCAGUGUGUGU